rnacentral:rRNA from 1 species
GAUGAACGCUGGCGGUCUGCUUAACACAUGCAAGUCGAACGAACUCUUCGGAGUGAGUGGCGGACGGGUGAGUAACGCGUGAGAAUCUGCCUGUGGGUCGGGGACAACUACUGGAAACGGUGGCUAAUACCGGAUGAGCCGAAAGGUAAAGAUUUAUUGCCCACAGAUGAGCUCGCGUCUGAUUAGCUAGUUGGUAAGGUAAAAGCGUACCAAGGCGACGAUCAGUAGCUGGUCUGAGAGGAUGAGCAGCCACACUGGGACUGAGACACGGCCCAGACUCCUACGGGAGGCAGCAGUGGGAAUUUUCCGCAAUGGGCGAAAGCCUGACGGAGCAAGACCGCGUGGGGGAGAAGGUUUUUGGAUCGUAAAGUUCUUUCUUAGGGAAGAAAGAUGACGGUACCUAAGGAUAAGCACCGGCU